rnacentral:rRNA from 1 species
AAUCGGAAGUUUUCGGAUGGAAGAGUGGACAGUUUAGUGGCGAACGGGUGAGUAACGCGUGAGUAACCUACCUUUCAGAGGGGGACAACAGUUGGAAACGACUGCUAAUACCGCAUAAGCCCACGGUGUCACAUGGCACAGUGAGAAAGGAGAAAUCCGCUGAAAGAUGGACUCGCGUCUGAUUAGAUAGUUGGUGGGGUAACGGCCUACCAAGUCGACGAUCAGUAGCCGGACUGAGAGGUUGAACGGCCACAUUGGGACUGAGAGACGGCCCAGACUCC